rnacentral:misc_RNA from 1 species
GUAAUGCGAUAAGUAAUGUGAAUUGCAGAAUUCAGUGAAUCAUCGAAUCUUUGAACGCACCUUGCGCUCCUUGGUAUUCCUUGGAGCAUGCCUGUUUGAGUAUCAUGAAAUCUUCAAAGUAAAUCUUUUGUUAACUCAAUUGGUUUCUACUUUGGUAUUGGAGGUCUUUGCAGCUUCACACCUGCUCCUCUUUGUUCAUUAGCUGGAUCUCAGUGUUAUGCUUGGUUCCACUCGGCGUGAUAAGUUAUCUAUCGCUGAGGACACUGUAAAAGGUGGCCAAGGUAAAUGCAGAUGAACCGCUUCUAAUAGUCCAUUGACUUGGACAAUACUUUUAUGAUCUGAUCUCAAAUCAGGUAGGACUACCCGCUGAACUUAAGC